UGAGGAAUAUUGGGCAAUGGGCGAAAGCCUGACCCAGCAACGCCGCGUGGAGGAUGAAUGCCGUAAGGUUGUAAACUUCUUUUGGAGGGGACGAAAAGUAGGUUCAUAGCCUAUAUUGACUGUACCCUCAGAAAAAGCCCCCGGCUAACUACGUGCCAGCAGCCGCGGUAAUACGUAGGGGGCAAGCGUUGUCCGGAUUUACUGGGUGUAAAGGGCGCGUAGGCGGGCUUGUUAGUCAGAGGUGAAAUCCUGCGGCUUAACCGUAGAACUGCCUUUGAUACUGCAAGUCUUGAGUUCGGAAGAGAGAGGCGGAAUUCCAGGUGUAGUGGUGAAAUACGUAGAUAUCUGGAAGAACACCGGUGGCGAAGGCGGUCUCUUGGUCCGUAACUGACGCUGAGGCGCGAAAGCGUGGGGAGCAAACA
rnacentral:rRNA from 1 species